GACGAACGCUGGCGGCGUGCCUAAUACAUGCAAGUCGAGCGGAAGUUGAAGAGCUUGCUCUUCAACUUUAGCGGCGGACGGGUGAGUAACACGUGGGCAACCUGCCCUGCAGAUCGGGAUAACUCCGGGAAACCGGUGCUAAUACCGAAUAGUUUUCGCCACCUCCUGGUGGCGUACGGAAAGACGGUUUCGGCUGUCACCGCAGGAUGGGCCCGCGGCGCAGUAGCUAGUUGGUGGGGUAACGGCCCACCAAGGCAACGAUGCGAAGCCGACCGGAGAGGGUGAUCGGCCACACUGGGACUGAGACACGGCCCAGACUCCUACGGGAGGCAGCAGUAGGGAAUCUUCCGCAAUGGACGAAAGUCUGACGGAGCAACGCCGCGUGAGUGACGAAGGUUUUCGGAUCGUAAAACUCUGUUGUGAGGGAAGAACAAGUACCACUUAACUACUGGUACCUUGACGGUACCUCACCAGAAAGCCACGGCUAACUACGUGCCAGCCGCCGCCGUAAAAC
rnacentral:rRNA from 1 species